rnacentral:rRNA from 1 species
UACGGAAGGCAGCAGUGGGGAAUAUUGCACAAUGAGCGCAAGCCUGAUGCAGCCAUGCCGCGUGUAUGAAGAAGGCCUUCGGGUUGUAAAGUACUUUCAGUCGUGAGGAAGGUGUUAAGGUUAAUAACCUUAGCAAUUGACGUUAGCGACAGAAGAAGCACCGGCUAACUCCGUGCCAGCAGCCGCGGUAAUACGGAGGGUGCGAGCGUUAAUCGGAAUUACUGGGCGUAAAGGGCACGCAGGCGGUUAAUUAAGUUGGAUGUGAAAUCCCCGGGCUUAACCUGGGAAUGGCAUUCAAGACUGGUUAGCUAGAGUCUUGUAGAGGGGGUAGAAUUCCAUGUGUAGCGGUGAAAUGCGUAGAGAUGUGGAGGAAUACCGGUGGCGAAGGCGGCCCCUGGGACAAAGGACUGACGCUCAUGUGCGAAAGCGUGGGGAGCAAACGAGGAUUAGAUACC